AUUGAACGCUGGCGGCAGGCCUAACACAUGCAAGUCGAGCGGAUGAGUGGAGCUUGCUCCAUGAUUCAGCGGCGGACGGGUGAGUAAUGCCUAGGAAUCUGCCUGGUAGUGGGGGACAACGUUUCGAAAGGAACGCUAAUACCGCAUACGUCCUACGGGAGAAAGCAGGGGACUUUCGGGCCUUGCGCUACCAGAUGAGCCUAGGUCGGAUUAGCUAGUUGGUGAGGUAAAGGCUCACCAAGGCGACGAUCCGUAACUGGUCUGAGAGGAUGAUCAGUCACACUGGAACUGAGACACGGUCCAGACUCCUACGGGAGGCAGCAGUGGGGAAUAUUGGACAAUGGGCGAAAGCCUGAUCCAGCCAUGCCGCGUGUGUGAAGAAGGUCUUCGGAUUGUAAAGCACUUUAAGUUGGGAAGAAGGGCAGUAAGUUAAUACCUUGCUGUUUUGACGUUACCGACAGAAUAAGCACCGGCUAACUUCGUGCCAGCAGCCGCGGUAAAAC
rnacentral:rRNA from 1 species